UCCCCCCUCCAAUGACACGCGUUCACCACCCGACGUAAAGCCGCUGCGACCAAUGGGAAGCGGGCGCGCGCCGCCGGCUUCCUAAAUCUCCGCAGCAUCCGAGCGCGGUGACCGGCGGCAAAAUGGCGACACCCGCGAAACGCCGAGCGACGAGCCCUGAGGAGGAAACGGAAGGCGGGAGCCCAAGCAGCGGCCGCCUGCGCCGCUGGAGGCGAAGAACGGCCCCGGUGGCCCCGGUGGCCGCGGUGGUCCCGCUGGAGGCGGAGCUGCCCUUCGUGGAGGGCUCCAUCCUCAGGAUCUACAUGGAGAACUUCCUUACUUAUGAUUCCUGUGUGGUGCUUCCAGGACCCCAUCUAAACAUGAUAGUUGGAGCUAAUGGAACAGGUAAAUCAAGUAUCGUAUGUGCCUUGUGCCUGGGAUUGGCCGGAAAACCUUCCUUCAUAGGACGAGCAGACAAGGUUGGUCACUAUGUGAAGCGGGGUACUAACAAAGCAGUUAUUGAAAUUGAGGUGUUUAAGAAACCAUCCAAACUUGUUAUCACACGGGAAAUGUCUGUAUCAAACAACCAGUCUGCUUGGUUUAUUAAUAAAAAACCAUCCACUCUCAAAAUGGUAGAAGAUCAAAUUGCAGCCUUAAAUAUCCAAGUCGGCAAUCUGUGCCAAUUUCUUCCACAGGACAAAGUUGGAGAAUUUGCAAAAUUAUCCAAGGUUGAACUACUUGAAGCCACAGAGAAAUCAGUUGGUCCUCCAGAAAUGUACAAAUAUCACUGUGAUCUGAAAAACUUUAGACAGCGAGAGCGAGAACUAGAGAAUUCAUGUAAAGAGAAACAUAGCAACCUAGAGAAAAUGAAGCAAACAAAUGAAAGGUAUAAACAGGAUGUGGAGCGAUACCAUGAACAUAAGCGACAUCUGGAUUUAAUUGCAAUGCUUGAGAGAAAAAGGCCCUGGGUGGUAUAUGAAGAUGUCCGCAAGCAAUAUGAACAGGUGAAACAAAACAGAGAUCGUCAAAAGGAGGAAUUAAAUGCACUAAGAAAAUCACAAUCUCCCAUGACACAUCAGAUCCAAGAGGCUGAGAAGCAGUGUGCAAGUCUGAAUAACAAAAUCCAAGAGAAAGCUGCAGCUAUCAGAGAAACAUCUCAGAAAUGUAAACAGCGUCAAGAUGCUUUGGAGUCAAAAGACAAAGAAAUUGAGAGAAUUAAGCAGGCAAUGAGGAUGAAGGAGGAGGUAGAAAUGGACCGACAGAAGAGAAUACAAAACACUCGUAAGAUGAUAGAAGACUGGAAUAAUGAGCUAAGAAAUACAGACAAUUCUGAGAAUAUUCAACCUCAGAUGGAUUUAAUUAAUGCUGAGCUUAAACGUUUGCAGGAAGAGAAAGUAAAUAUUGAUGGUGAAUUAAAUAAUCUGACAGGAGAAAAGGAGAACUUGCUAAAGGACAAAGACGGAGUAAUGAAUGGCAUUGUACAGUUUGACAAUAUGAUGAAGAUGAAGGAAGAGAAGCUAAGAAAGAGAUUUCAAGACACACACAUUGCUCUUACGUGGCUAAGAGAAAACAGAAACCGGUUCGAAAGAGAAAUCUGUGAUCCCAUGAUGCUUGCAAUCAAUAUGAAAGAUCAUAAGCAUGCUAAAUAUGUAGAAAAUCACAUUUCAGCCAACGACUUGAGGGCCUUUGUCUUUGAAAGCCAAGAAGAUAUGGAAACCUUUCUAAGAGAGGUGCGUGAUCGCCAGAGGCUCAGAGUGAAUGCUGUGUGUGCACCAAGUCAAUCUUGUGCUGAAAGCAGACCUUUGAAACCAGUUGAAGAACUGUUCCGGUAUGGAGUAUUCUCUUACUUGAGAGAGUUGUUUGAUGCUCCCCACCCUGUGAUGAGUUACCUGUGUGAAAGAUAUCACAUUCAUGAGGUCCCUGUCGGCACAGAGAAAACCAGAAAUAUGAUUGAAAGGGUAAUAAAGGAAACCAGACUGAGAAACAUCUACACAGCAGAAGAAAGAUAUGUGGUAAAAUUGUCUUCUUACACAAAUCAGCCCAUUACCAGUAAUACAUCUCUGAAGCCAGCCCAGUUCCUUACUGUCACAGUGGAUGCAGAUGAAAGAAGGCAGUUGGAAAAUCAACAGAAGGAAAUUGCAAGGCAGCUGAAGUUAGUGGAUUCUAAAAUGGCUUCCUUCUCUGAACGACAAAAAUGUAUGGAACACAGAGAUAAUGACCUCAGACAACAGAAAAAGUUGCUAUUGGAUAGAAAAAACAAAAGGAAGCAAUUGGAAUCAAAAAUUAGUAUGAAAAGUGACAGUUUGAGACAAAUGGAACAAGAGGCCGUCAACCUGGAAGAAGUGUCUGAGCAAGCGAAUAUUGCAGUAAAAAAAAUUAACACUGAGAAAGUAAAACUCGUCAGAGAAUUUAUGCAACUAAUAAAGAGUUGUGUGACCUUGAACAAACAGAAAACAGAUUUGGUUCUACAGAACAUGAAAGCAGCUUUCCACAAGAGCAGACUUGAGGCUGAAUAUAAAGCCUGCGCUGUCCAACUACGAGCUGCAGAGCAGCAGCUUUUGGAGCUGGAUGAAAGGAGACGUACACUCUUGGAGAACUGUAAAGGUUUAAUGAGGAAAGCUAUGCAAGCUUGCAACCUUCGUCCAGAUCAAAGUAUUCCAGAACAUUUCAGCAAUAAGGUGGAAGAAGCAACAAAUGGAUCACCUACCUUGGAGCUGGUCCUCACUAACAGGGAGGAACUGAAAAAACAAACUUAAAAAAUCCUUCCAGUAGCACCUUAGAGACCAACUAAGUUUGUCAUAGGUAUGAGCUUUCGUGUGUAUGCAGGUAGGAACUAAUCGACAAAGCGGAAGUACUCGGAAACUUGGGAGGAAGUGAUCAUGAAGAGUAACUAAUCAAUUAAGUAUAUUUUGUGCGGUACAGGGAAUGGUUUUUUCUUUAACCCAGUCAUUCUGGUAUCUGGUAUUCUAUCAUGAUUCAGAACCUGAUUCUGCAGUAAAUGUUUUUGGCAAUGUAUUGUGUCAAAUAUGGCCAAUAUUUGUUCUCCGCUCUCAAGAGGAAUUGAAGUUAAUUCACCAGUGCAGUGCAAGCAAGGAAGUACUUUCUGCAACUGAAAAUUUAAUAAAUAAAAAUACUGUGGGGGAGAAGUUACUGUUUUUGCUAGUUUUAUGGCAUGUAUUUUUAUAUUGUAAGUUGUCCUGUGACCUUUGGAUGAAGGGUGAUAUAGAAAUUUAACAAAUAACAAUAAAUAAUAAAGUAAUAAUGUCCUCCUGGUUUUCAUGAUACAGAGGCAAGGGAAUGCUGAGUGUAGUUGGACAUGCACUCUGGACUUCAAGAAGGCCAGUUUCAAAAAGCUUAAGCAGCUACUGGGUGUGAUCCCAUGGUCAGAAAUUCUCAAAGAGAAUGGAGUCCAAGAUGGAUGGGAGUUCCUUAAAGGACAAAUGCCGAAGACCCAAAUGCAGACAAUUCCAACAUGAAGGAAAAGUGUGAGGCAUCUCAGGAAACCAGUGUGGCUGCAUAAGGAGCUUACAGAUGAGCUGAGAAUUAAGGGCAUGUGUAAGAAAUGGAAGAAAGGGGAAAUCACAAGUAGCCAACAGUUGUAGGGGGGAGGUCAGGCUGUCUAAAGCUCAGAAUGAGUUCAGGCUUGUAAGAGAGGUCAAAAAUAAUUUUAAAAAGGUUUCUUUGGCUAUUUCCAAAGCAAGAGGAAGAACAAGUCCUUUGUAUGAGAAGACAGAGAAAUGCUAUUGGGCGACAGGAGAUGGAACUGCUCGACACCUACUUUGCCUCUGCCUUCACCCAAAGGGAAAGCAGUGUCCAACCUGGUGAUAACAGAAUAAAUGAUGGAGGGAGGGAGCUGCAGCCCAAGCUAGUUUAAAUGAAUUCAAAUCUCCAGGGUACUAAAGGAGCUUGCAGAUAUAACCUCAAAGACAUUGUCUAUGAUCUGCGUGCAUUCUUGGAGAACAGGUGAGGUUCCUGCAGACUGGAGGCGGACAAAUAUUUGUGCCCCAUCUUCAAAAAGUGGGGCAAAGAAGACCCAGGUAACUACCAACUGGUGAGCUUGACAUCAAUACCAGGAAAUGACCUAGAACAGAUAAUUGAACAGUAGAUCUGUGAGCACUUAGAAAAGGAUUGUGAUUACAAAGACCCAGCAUCCUAUAUAAUUAUGUGCAAGUGUCUCUGCAUCCAGUCCCUGUGUCCCUGUGUCCGCGCUACUGCGCAUGUGCCCCUUGGACACAGAGACUGGACGCACACACACGCGUGCGCUCUCCCCCCCCCUGCCAACCACCGCUCCCGGACGGACAAGCGCCUCACUGCGCGAGGAGGAGGCUGCUUCCUUUUCCUCCCCCCCUACGCUCCCCCCCGCGACUAGCAGCAAGCAGGCGUCGCACACACACACACACACACACACACGCUCCCCCCACCCCUCUGCCUACUGUUUCCCUCGCGGUCCUCAGAAGAAUCGUGGCCUUCUGGGCGCCCGCUGCCCUGCUGGGUUCCAAAGAGCGUUCACAGAGCGAUCGGGAGCCAAAACAUUGGACUUGCAAGGCGUUUGACUUGUGAGGUACGACUGUAGUUUUUUGUUUGAGCCAUGGGACAGGGAGUGAAAGACUGUCCCUGCAUGGUUGGGAACUUGGCUCCAAGGUUACAACCGAGCUUCAGAGGUGCUUGGACCACCUUGUGGCCCCAGCGUAACCAUGAGGUUAAGCUUCCACUUUUCCUUCCCAUGUUUGUAUCAUGUGGGGAUGUUUGUAUCAUGUUGAGCUUCAGUGCUUUCAAGACUUGCUAUAGAAGGGUGGGGCAUUCCAGAGAAGGAACCAAAAAUACACUUGGCAGAGGUGAGUUGGCAAGCACAUCUGUGGGUCCCUGGAGAUGGUGAUACAGGGCAGCUGGCGUUAGUCUGCUGUGGCAUCUUUAAUUGGGGAAGAGGCCACUUGAGUAAAAGCAGAGCUUCAAUAUAUUUGAAGGAACUAUUUCUAUUCAAAUCCUAAUAGAGGUUUUUGCAGGGUCCUUGGCAUUGAUACAAAGGUCCUUUCUUUUAGGCAUUCCUUUCUCUUCCAAACACACUGGAUGAAAUUGACGCUUUGCUGAAUGAGGAGAAAUCAAGAGCUUCCUGUUUCACAGGCCUCAGCGCUUCAGUUGUUGAAGAAUGUAACAAAAGGACAGAAGAAAUAGCACAGAUGACAGUG